GAUGAACGCUGGCGGCGUGCCUAAUACAUGCAAGUCGAGCGAACGGACGAGAAGCUUGCUUCUCUGAUGUUAGCGGCGGACGGGUGAGUAACACGUGGAUAACCUACCUAUAAGACUGGGAUAACUUCGGGAAACCGGAGCUAAUACCGGAUGAUAUUUUGAACCGCAUGGUUCAAAAGUGAAAGACGGUCUUGCUGUCACUUAUAGAUGGAUCCGCGCUGCAUUAGCUAGUUGGUAAGGUAACGGCUUACCAAGGCAACGAUGCAUAGCCGACCUGAGAGGGUCAUCGGCCACACUGGAACUGAGACACGGUCCAGACUCCUACGGGAGGCAGCAGUAGGGAAUCUUCCGCAAAGGGCGAAAGCCUGACGGAGCAACGCCGCGUGAGUGAUGAAGGUCUUCGGAUCGUAAAACUCUGUUAUUAGGGAAGAACAUAUGUGUAAGUAACUGUGCACAUCUUGACGGUACCUAAUCAGAAAGCCACGGCUAACUACGUG
rnacentral:rRNA from 1 species